AAAUAAAUCAAAUAUUAUUAUUUUUGUAAUGAAUAUCCAUUUCCUUUUUGUAAGUAAAAGUAAAACAGCAUUUGGGCCCACUACGUCAGAGAUCCAACAUUUGUUCCCUCCCUCGCUCCACCACCAUUUCCUUGCUCAAUUUUUAGCACUCGCCGGAGAUUCUCCGAUCACCGGGAUCUUUCGCCGCCCUUGACAUUUAUAUUUUAUAAAACAAAUCGACGUUUCAAUUUAGGGUCUAAAAAGAUCAAUAAUAAUAUAACAUUCUCACUUGAGACUACAUCACAGAUCACACAUAUAUAUACUCUACAUCGAUAGGAAUAAUUUAGUCCAGUAUAUAUAUAAUAAUAAAGAAAUAUAAAAAUAAAAUAAUAUGCCUUCAAGAAGGCGGAAGGGUGGCGGUGAUUCCAAGAAAACAACAUCUGGGAGUGGGCAGAAACAAAAUAUCGAAAUAACUAGGAAAUCAUCAGAAGAAGAAAAAAGAAAAGAGAAAGAGAAUAGUACGAGUAAUAAAGAGAAAUUGAAGAAAGAAAGGAGGAGGUGUAUAGACGGGUGUUGUUGGAUGAUAGGAUUGAUAUGUUCGACCUGGUGGUUUUUAUUGUUUUUAUACAAUGCAAUGCCCGCAUCCUUUCCACAGUAUGUGACUGAAGCCUUCACGGGUCCCACGCCCGACCCCCCGGGUCUCAAGUUACAUAAACAGGGCUUCAAAGCCAAACAUCCGGUUGUAUUCGUGCCCGGGAUCGUUACCGGUGGGCUUGAAUUGUGGGAAGGACAUCCUUGUAUGGAUGAUUUGUUUCGGAAAAGGCUUUGGGGUGGCACCUUCGGUGAAGUUUAUAAAAGGCCCUUGUGUUGGAUUGAACAUAUGUCACUGGAUAAUGAAACUGGUCUAGAUCCUCCGGGUGUAAGGGUCAGGCCUGUCUCUGGACUAGUGGCAGCUGAUUACUUUGCUGCAGGUUAUUUUGUAUGGGCAGUUUUGAUUGCCAAUUUGGCUCGCAUCGGAUAUGAGGAGAAAAACAUGUAUAUGGCUGCUUAUGAUUGGAGGCUUUCGUUUCAAAAUACCGAAGUACGAGAUCAAACCCUAAGUAGGAUGAAAAGCAAUAUAGAACUCAUGGUAGCUACAAGUGGUGAGAAGGUGGUUGUAAUUCCACAUUCUAUGGGCGUUUUGUACUUCUUGCAUUUUAUGAGAUGGGUUGAAGCACCAGCACCAAUGGGCAGUGGAGGUGGAUCAGAUUGGUGCAAUAAGCAUAUAAAGGCUGUAAUGAAUAUAGGUGGACCCUUUUUGGGGCUUCCAAAAAUAGUUGCAGGACUUUUUUCUGCUGAAGCCAAGGAUAUUGCUGUAGCCAGAGCUGUUGCACCUGGUGUUCUAGAUUUGGAUAUAUUUGGUUUUCAAACGCUACAACAUGCUAUGAGGAUGACACGUACAUGGGAUUCAACAAUGUCAUUAAUACCGAAAGGUGGGGACCUCAUAUGGGGCACGCUCGAUUGGGCUCCUGAAGCAGACCAUGAUUGUGCUGUGAAGAAAGUAAAGAAAAAUGAUACUCAAGCAGUGGAUGAAAAUGAUGUGGGAAUUGGUGAUGUUAAAUCUCUUAAUUAUGGGAGAAUAAUAUCUUUUGGGAAGAAUAUUUCUGAAAUACAUUCAUCAAAAGUUGAGAGGGUGGAGUUCAAGGAUGCUGUGAAGGGUAGUAAUUAUGCAAACAGAUCAUGUAGAGAUGUAUGGAAUGAGUACCAUGAAAUGGGAAUUGGGGGUAUCAAGGCUGUUGCAGAUUACAAGGCUUUUACGGUUGAUUCUGUUUUGGAACUUCUGCGAUUCGUAGCUCCAAGGAUGAUGAAGCGCGGUGGUGCUCAUUAUUCUUAUGGAAUAGCUGAUAAUUUGGAUGAUAUAAAGUACAAGCAUUAUCAGCACUGGUCAAAUCCCUUAGAAUCCAGACUACCAAAUGCCCCAGAAAUGGAGAUUUUUUCAAUGUAUGGAGUUGGUUUACCCACCGAAAGAUCAUAUGUGUAUAAGUUUAGUCCGGCUGCUGAGUGUUACAUUCCUUUCCAGAUCGAUACCUCAGCUGAAGGUGGAAACGAUCAUGGUUGUUUGAGAGCCGGGGUUUAUUCUGUUGAUGGGGAUGAAACAGUUCCCGUUCUAAGUGCAGGUUUUAUGUGUGCAAAAGGUUGGAGAGGUGGAACACGAUUUAAUCCAUCGGGAAUUAAAACGUAUAUAAGGGAAUACAACCAUGCCCCUCCAGCAACGCUAUUGGAGGGAAGAGGAACACAAAGUGGAAACCAUGUUGAUAUAAUGGGAAAUUUUGCAUUAAUAGAAGAUAUCAUUAGAGUGGCAGCAGGAGCUACGGGAAAUGAGUUGGGAGGAGACCAAGUUUACUCUGAUAUUUUUAAAUGGUCAGAAAGGAUCAAGUUACAACUGUGAAUACAAAUGGGCUGCCUGUCAAAAUGGGUCAGUUUUGGUGAAAUAUUGGGCUGCCAAUCAAAAUAGGUCAGGUUAUGAUCCUCUGGAUGCUAAGUCCGAAGAUUAAACGUGACAAUAAUCAGAUUAAUCUGCUUUGUAGUUGAUAUACAAAAAAGGAAGUGAGGGUUCAGAAGUUGGUGAUAGUCAGAUUCGGAUGAGAGAUACAUGUUUUGAAUCGAGGUUGCCCUUGUGGAGGAUGAUCUGGUGUAGAGAGAUGUAGCCAUUUUUGCAGCUGUUUUUCCCAGAAGAUUUUGGUUUAAAACGUAAGCAUAUAGAUUUAGCCAGCAGGAUUGCAUGUAUCUCAUUAGCUACAGUUUAGAUUGUUAUCAUAAAACAAGAUUCCUAAGCAGCAAAUAUUUGAUUUUCGUGUCACAAAAUACAAACUCGGCGUAUAUAAUACGAGUGAUGUAGAUAUUUUUUGUCCCA